AUUGAACGCUGGCGGCAUGCUUUACACAUGCAAGUCGAACGGCAGCACGGGGCAACCUGGUGGCGAGUGGCGAACGGGUGAGUAAUAUAUCGGAACGUACCCAAGAGUGGGGGAUAACGUAGCGAAAGUUACGCUAAUACCGCAUACGAUCUAAGGAUGAAAGCAGGGGAUCUUCGGACCUUGUGCUCCUGGAGCGGCCGAUAUCUGAUUAGCUAGUUGGUGAGGUAAAGGCUCACCAAGGCGACGAUCAGUAGCUGGUCCGAGAGGACGACCAGCCACACUGGAACUGAGACACGGUCCAGACUCCUACGGGAGGCAGCAGUGGGGAAUUUUGGACAAUGGGCGCAAGCCUGAUCCAGCAAUGCCGCGUGAGUGAAGGAGGCCUUCGGGUUGUAAAGCUCUUUUGUCAGGGAAGAAACGGUUGUGGCUAAUAUCCAUGGCUAAUGACGGUACCUGAAGAAUAAGCACCGGCUAACUACGUGCCAGCAGCCGCCGUAA
rnacentral:rRNA from 1 species